UUUCAUUUUUCAGAGCUUCUUUUCAUUUAGUCAGUCACUUAUUUCCAGAGAUUUCCUGGUGAUGUUGCCUCACAUUUAUUUGUGGAAAUGCCAGUAUGUUUUAAGCUUGCAGGUCAAACUCCCAAGAGUUUGAGGUCGAAUUUGAUGGAACACCCAGAUGUCCUCAGCUGCCAUGGAGAAUACUUACCAUAUUUGCUUGCAUAUUUUCCCUAUUAUACUGGCAGACACUUUUAGUUGUUAACAUAGAGGAAAGAGGUAUUUAGGUUGUAACUUCCUCAAGCAGUUCUUUCCACAUCAUGUAGCUCUGGUCCAUGCCAUGUGUGCCAAUGGUAACCAAACCUUUCAUCCUGACCAUCACUAACUGGAUUGGCGUCCCAGCCAAAAGCAACCAAUCUCUGUGGAGAAAAGAGAAGCCAACGUCCUCUGAGAAGUCUUUUGCAGGUUUUUUGUAUCAUGGUUAUAUUCAUAUCAUAAAAUGAAUUGGGAACCUCUGGUUUCAGCUCCAACAUAGAGCUGAAGUUGCAAGGUAGACCACCACUCUGAAAUUGGGAGAGACAGGCAAAUCCAGAGAAGUACAGCUAAUAUUUGCAUAUCUGGAGCAGAAGCCACUUGGAGCCAUAAACUGUUAGGAACACUUAA
rnacentral:lncRNA from 10 species